CAAACAAGAAACUGAGGCAUAAUGGUCAUAUACACAAAAGUGCAGAGCUAGGAUUAGAAUUCAGGUCACCUGGUUCUAGGACCACCAGCUCCACAGGUCUUGUUCUUACUUCGCCACUUACUUGAGAACACCAGGUGAACACCAUGACAUGGUUAGGAGGUUAUGAGGGUCUCUCCCUGAGGGCAAGGCCCAUCCCUAUCAUACACUUCCCCCGGGACCCCCAGCUGCAUCCCAGGCCUGAAGCAGUAAAUUCAGUAGAAAUGUGGUUUUAAAAACAGAAGACCUUUGUGCUUCAAGAGGUUUGUGAAUAAUACUAAACUGAACUUUAUGAAAGAAAUGAAAUGAAGAAAUGUGAACUCUCCGUGUUGGCAUCACCAGUGCAGGCAGUUGCCCUCCUCCGAGGGCAGCCCUUCACAAAGACAGACCUCUGUUCUGGUUCCAGGAGAGUGGCGGGCCAGGCGGUGAAAGGAGGAGCCAGCGGCCACAGUGCGGCUUUGUUCAGCAGGGUGCUGUCCUUGUACACCAGCCUGCGGGAUGCAAAUUUGUGCCUCGGCGACCUUACCUGGUACCACACAUCACACCCUUCUGAGUUCUUGCCAAUGCCUGUCGUUUUGAUUGUCAAAUCCGUGUAUGCCAAGCUGCUGCUGCUUGUUCUUCCUGAAGGCAGCUAGUACAGUCUGGAAGAAAGGCUCCUAUCCUACUUCAGGAAUCAAGAGGAAAGCUGGCCUCCAAGUGGGUGGGUGACUGAGGAGUCUCACAAGAGGGUAAGACUGGGGGACCUACCAUCAAAGCUUUUGGAGUCUGAAGCUCUAAAUGCCAAGAAAAAGCAAUCACUUGCUACUCUGAUUCUUUUAUUCCUUCAGUAGAAAUGAGACCAGACAUCUGACCAGCAUGUUGUCUCCUGUGGACAAAUUCUGUGAGAAACCAAAUCAUCCUCGUCAAAGGGUUGCUGUGAAAAGGCAGCUACCCUGAUGCAAAUACACAGUGGGAUAAGUUAGCUUUGCAAUCUUGAUGAAGCGUGGUAGAGAUACCCUGGAUACUGAUUUACAGAUUCCUUCAUUCAACAAAUAUUUAUUAAAUAUGGCUGAUGUGGUAGGCACUAGGAAUGCAGCAGUGAACAUUUACAUUCUAGUUGUACGAGUGUGUGUAGACAUUCUAAAUAUGCUAGUGAAAGAGGCAGUCAUUAGAAGGUGAUAAAUGCUGUGGGGGAGGGGAAGGAUAGGGGGAAGAAGGGAGGAAACAACAGGAGGGAAGAAUGGUCAUGAGUGUUAUUUUAAAUGAGGCAGGCAGGACCAGACUCCCAACCAGAAGAAAAGAUCUGAAGGAUUUGACAGCAAGUCAUGUGGAUAAUCAGAGGAAGAAUUCUUCAGAGCAUCAUCAGCAGUUAUACAGUAUCAGGCAGAACAAAGCAACUCAGGAGAAGAGACUCAGGCACUAACACAAAUGGAGGGAUGGGAUCCAAUCAAAGCUGUGGGCACGGACCUCUUGAAGGCCCGCUUCUGCUGACGAAAUCUUUCACUCUCAACCCCGGAUGGCAGAGGUAGAGCCUCACAGGUUGACCGGGACCAUCCCUUGGGUCUCCGGAAUUUGGUGGGUCAGCCAAGCCACUGAUCCAGUCAACCUCUGCUCUCAUAGUGAGUCAUUUGUGUCUGUGAAGCCUUGCCUCAGCCUUAUCAUAAAAUCAAUAUGCUUCAAUAAUUUUGAAUCUUCUCAGAGAAGAGAAUUAUUGGCUUUUAAAUAAAAAGUGCAUAUAAACAAGAGAUUAGGGAGCACAUCAAAAGUAUUUAAAUAAUAAGUCCCAGACAAGAAAAAGAUGUAAUCAAGUAUUAUCUUUCCUUGGACCAAAGAGUACCUACUACUGGA